GGGGAUAUUAUUGUUGGGUAAAUAUAUGAUGAUCCACAUCUCUUUCAUGUCGAUUGUAUUUGCUUUCUCUAUGUUUUAUCAUAUGUGUUUCUCCUGUUCCUUACUUCACACUCCACUAUUCUCGUGAUAUUUUUGUUUCUGUUCUGUGUCUAUGGGGUAUAUUAAAUCUGACUUCUUCUUGGCUGCUUGUUUGAUAGGUUGAUUGUUUCAGUGGCAUGGAUUGCACAUAUUGUGAUAUAUCUAUUGAUUAACCCUCCUCUUUCUCCUUUCCUAAAUGGGGUUUUCAUCAAGUUGGAUGACGUCUGGGGUCUUCUGGGAACUGCAGCCUUUGCAUUCUUCUGCUUCUACCUUCUACUUGCCGUGAUUGCUGGGGCAAUGAUGCUUGGCAUGAGAUUAGUUUUCAUAACAAUCCAUCCCAUGAAGUGGGGAGCCACUCUGAUGAACUCCUUUCUUUUUAAUGUGGGACUCAUUCUUCUUUGCUCCAUCAGUGUGAUUCAGUUCUGUGCAACAUCAUUUGCAUACUAUGCUCAAGCUACUGCUGCACAGGAAAA